rnacentral:rRNA from 1 species
CACGUAGGGUGCGAGCGUUGUCCGGAAUUAUUGGGCGUAAAGAGCUCGUAGGCGGUGUGUCGCGUCGGCCGUGAAAACUUUCAGCUUAACUGGGAGCUUGCGGUCGAUACGGGCAUCACUGGAGUUCGGCAGGGGAGACUGGAAUUCCUGGUGUAGCGGUGAAAUGCGCAGAUAUCAGGAGGAACACCGGUGGCGAAGGCGGGUCUCUGGGCCGAUACUGACGCUGAGGAGCGAAAGCGUGGGGAGCGAACAGG